CCUGGCUCAGGACGAACGCUGGCGGCGUGCUUAACACAUGCAAGUCGAACGAAAAUAACAAGCUUGCUUGGUUGAUUAGUGGCGAACGGGUGAGUAACACGUGAGUAACCUGCACCUUACUGUCCUGGAUAACUGAUCGAAAGGGUAGCUAAUACGGGAUAUUCUGACCAGUCUGCAUGGGUUGGUUUGGAAAGGUUUUUUCUGGUAAGGGAUGGGCUCGCGGCGUAUCAGCUUGUUGGUGGGGUGAUGGCCUACCAAGGCUUUGACGGGUAGCCGGCCUGAGAGGAUGACCGGUCACAUUGGGACUGAGAUACGGCCCAGACUCCUACGG
rnacentral:rRNA from 1 species